rnacentral:rRNA from 1 species
GAAGUAAAAGUCGUAACAAGGUCUCCGUUGGUGAACCAGCGGAGGGAUCAUUACUGAGUUACCGCUCUAUAACCCUUUGUGAACAUACCUACAACUGUUGCUUCGGCGGGUAGGCCGUCCCCUGAAAAGGACGCCUCCCGGCCCGGACCGGACCCCCUGUGGGGCCGGACUCGGCGCCCGCCGGAGGAUAACCAAACGCUAUUUUAACGACGUUUCUUCUGAGUGGCAUAAGCAAAAUAAUCAAAACUUUUAACAACGGAUCUCUUGGUUCUGGCAUCGAUGAAGAACGCAGCGAAAUGCGAUAAGUAAUGUGAAUUGCAGAAUUCAGUGAAUCAUCGAAUCUUUGAACGCACAUUGCGCCCGCCAGCAUUCUGGCGGGCAUGCCUGUUCGAGCGUCAUUUCAACCCUCAAGCUCUGCUUGGUGUUGGGGCUCUACGGUCGACGUAGGCCCUCAAAGGUAGUGGCGGACCCUCCCGGAGCCUCCUUUGCGUAGUAACAUUUCGUCUCGCACUGGGAUCCGGAGGGACUCUUGCCGUAAAACCCCCCAAUUUUUCAAGGUUGACCUCGGAUCAGGUAGGAAUACCCGCUGAACUUAAGCAUAUC